rnacentral:tRNA from 1 species
GGACUUGUGGUGUAGUGGUUAUCACGUCUCGUUUACAGCCAAGUAAACACUGCUGAUGUACUUUCGUGCAUCGGGAGCUCCGAGAAGGCCGCAGGUUCGAGCCCUGCCAAGUUCA